AUUGAACGCUGGCGGCAGGCCUAACACAUGCAAGUCGAGCGAGCGGCGGACGGGUGAGUAAUGUCUGGGAAACUGCCUGAUGGAGGGGGAUAACUACUGGAAACGGUAGCUAAUACCGCAUACCAUCAGAUGUGCCCAGAUGGGAUUAGCUAGUAGGUGGGGUAACGGAUCACCUAGGCGACGAUCCCUAGCUGGUCUGAGAGGAUGACCAGCCACAUGGGACCUGCACCACGGUCCAGACUCCACCGGGAGGCAGCAGUGGGGAAUAUUGCACAAGGGGCGCAAGCCUGAUGCAGCCAUGCCGCGGGUGUGAAGAAGGCCUUCGGUUUUUAAAGCACUUUCAGCGGGGAGGCGUUACCCGCAGAAGAAGCACCGGCUAACUCCGUGCCAGCAGCCGCGGUAAUAC
rnacentral:rRNA from 1 species